AUUGAACGCUGGCGGCAGGCCUAACACAUGCAAGUCGAGCGGAUGAAGAGAGCUUGCUCUCUGAUUCAGCGGCGGACGGGUGAGUAAUGCCUAGGAAUCUGCCUGGUAGUGGGGGACAACGUUUCGAAAGGAACGCUAAUACCGCAUACGUACUACGGGAGAAAGGGGGGGAUCUUCGGACCUCACGCUAUCAGAUGAGCCUAGGUACGAUUAGCUAGUUGGUGAGGUAAAGGCUCACCAAGGCGACGAUCGGUAACUGGUCUGAGAGGAUGAUCCGUCACACUGGACCUGAGACACGGUCCAGACUCCUACGGGAGGCAGCAGUGGGGAAUAUUGGAAAAGGGGCGAAAGCCUGAUCCAGCCAUGCCGCGUGUGUGAAGAAGGUCUUCGGAUUGUAAAGCACUUUAAGUUGGGAGGAAGGGCAGUAAGUUAAUACCUUGCUGUUUUGACGUUACCGACAGAAUAAGCACCGGCUAACUUCGUGCCAGCCGCCGCGGUAA
rnacentral:rRNA from 1 species